ACACACACACAUACACGCACACCAAAUAUCAUUUUAAACAUAAUGUAAGUUCAUAAUUGUGUGUGUGUGUGUGUGUGUGU